rnacentral:lncRNA from 1 species
UGAAAUGGUGCGUGGUGAGACCUGUCUCCCCAACACAAGCUAGAAGACAACAAAAUAGCAGCCAGGAAACGCUCUGAUAAAGCUCUAGAUAGCUGCCAGGCCCAGCUCAAGGGAGCAGAACUAAGUUACAUGAUUCUGCUGCAGAUGUAUGAGCUCCACUCCAAUAAUUUAUUAUCAUAGUUGGAGACUUUGACUUGUCACUUUAUGACUUGAAAUAUGGCUCCAUGGUAAAUGCCCAUAAAGCUGAUUUUUAAAAUCUGGAUAUUACAGUUCUAAUUCUCACUUAGUUUAAAAGGUAGAAUAGGCUUCUUGUUUCAUAGAUCAUUUGUGUGAAUGUUGAUUUGUCAUGUCAUUGACAUCAUACACACAUGCUUACAUUUUGAAGGUUGCUAGCGUUUCCCAUUAAUGCUUCUGAAUUGAUGCCAAAGGAAAGCAUUGAUUAUAAAUUACGUUCCUUGGUAUUAGUUGGUGCAUGACCCUGACCCUUUUCAAGCUAUAUGAAAGGUAAUGAUGCUCUCAAAAGUCUGCAAAAUGGCUUAUUCAGGAAAGCAUAAUGGAUUAAAAAUCCAUUA